ACCAGCACUUUAUAAAAUGACCUGGUGUUUUCCAAAAAAUAAAAAAUAAUAAGGAUCAGGUGAGCUCCAAUUUACUCAUGGAAAAUAAGUAUGCAUGCUACCUAAGAAAAGCUGAUAUUAGGCUAAACCUCUUUUUCUAGUUUGUAUUGGGAUAAAUCAAGAGCAACAGCAGACAUACAAACCAGGGCUGAUUCUUGUAUAGCUUAAAUCAGUGGCAGCUUUGCUUUUGACUUCAGUGAGUUUUGGAUUGAUCCCAUAAUUAUUAUCAUUAGUGAGGAAUUUGAUCUUUUCUCUUUUUCUUUUUUUUUUCCCCAGACCACAAAUGAUUCCACACAUGGGAUAUUCAGUUUUUAGCAGCUGUCAUUAUUUAGAGGUUUAACAAGCACUCUUACAGAAAGAACUAUAAAAGGGAAGUUGUAUAAAUAGACUAAAAUUAAUAGAGGAACCAAAUAGAGUUAGUUCCUGCUUCACUAGCCUCUACAGCUCUUUUAAUUUUUGUAUUUUUAAAGUGUAUUUAACUGCAGUUCCAUUUACAAGAAAUGUCGGUAGCAUUUUUGCAAUGGUAGUUGUAAAAGCCAAAGUUUUUCCAUCACUUUACAGACUCACUUCUGAAUGUAACCAGUGUUUGGUAGAAAUUUAAAAAGUGGAGCAAUUUAAGCAUUUGCGCUUAACUUGCCAAAUGGGGACGAUACUAAAUUAUUACAGAAUUAUAGGUUACUGGUGAAGGGAAUGCGCACUUUGUAGGAAAAAGAAGUGGAGGUUUUAAAUGGUGCAUGAAUGGGCUCUAAUUUGUGUAUAGCUGUAGUGUGAGAUGAGGCCAGGCUUAAAUCAUAAACUUAUAACAGGGCUUAGCCAAGCACUUUGGCUUUGUUUGUGGAGCCGAAUUGCAAGUUUUCCAGACAGACUACCAAAAACUUAAGAGAGAACUUGCAUAAACUUAUCCUUAAGGUUACUAUGACCUGAAGGAAGAAUGCAAGAGUGAACUCAGAGAGUUGUUCCUGUCUUUGGCCAUUCACCCAUCUGCAGGGAACUGUGGCUAAGCCAGUCUCAAGAGGUGUCAUUCCUGAGUUUUCUCACUUAGAUUUGGAAAUUACAAUCCAGAGGAAUAUAAUAGGCACACUGGGUCCCUCCUAGAUUCAUCAUACCUCAGCCAUGCUGUUCCAGCGAGUGGCCGGUAACUGAGGCUUCAGAGUAAGAAGUAAAAUGCUUAAGCAGAAAAGGAUAAGAAAUAAGAGAAACACAGAGUGGUCCUUCCUCUGUUCAAUCCUCCCAGCUGGCAAUUUGUGGUUUAAGAAGUUCCUGAGCCAGGGUUUAUCUCAUGGUCAGUAGCUACUAGUAAGUCCAUCCUCCAUAAAUGUCUAGCCCCUUUAUGAGGCUGUUUACAUUUCUGGCCUCCAUUUUUGGCAAGGGAUUCUAUAUUGUAGCUAUGCAUUGUGUGAAACAGCAUUUGCUUCUGUAUGUUUUAAACCUGCUGCCUCAUAAUUUCACCGAGUGCCCUUUAGGUCUUUUCUGGGAAAGAAUGAGAAAUCCUUUUCCGUUCAUCCAGCUCAUAUGGUUUAUGAUUGUACAGAUCUCCCUCACAUUUUCCCCUUCAGUCAUUCUUUCCCAGAUUCAAGAUCUUAAGCUAGGCAGCCUUUCUCCCUUCACAACCCUGUUUCAUGCCUUUGAUCACCUUUGUCAUCCUUUUCUGUGCCUUCUCUAGCUCUGUUGUGCAUUUUUUGAGACGGAUGGAGAAGCGGACUUGCACGGAAUAUAAAUGUUGGUGAGCUCUAAUUUGUUUUUUCCAGGAGGUUCUCCACCACUACACUAAAAUCUUCUCCCAGAUUGGUAGGUUAGUAAGAUUGCCUAUUAUCUGUUUGUUUAUCCUGUAAUUUACCUAUAAUUCAGAUUGUAUUGCCUCAUGUGCUUUAUUUUGUAUUUGUUGCCAUUGCACGCCAUCCACCAUGCUGCUGCUCAGGCACAACAUCAGGAGAGCUGUUCAUUCUUCUCAGUUGGUUUCUUGAACACAACUAUGUGUCAUCGGCCGACUGCUCAGGAAACCAUGCAGCUUGGCAGGAAGCUCUAGGAAGAGCUCAGCCUCCCUGAACACUUGAGGGCACAAAAUGAAUCAACUUGCCGUGUCUGGAGCCUGGUCUCUGAGCUCCUGCUGGGGAAGAGAAGCCAUGCUCCUGCAGACCUGCCUGGCACGGAGAGCUGUGCAAGGAGGUUCAACGCAGCCAUCACCAGAUGGUGCUGCUGCAUUCAGCCUUGCAAGGUCAUUAUGUACAGGGAUGUUUUGAUUCUUGGAAGGAAAUACUGAACUGGGGGUGUUUUUCCGCUGCUUGGAUGUCUGGAGAGUAGGCAGGGUAUGUUCUGACUUCAUGUCACUACUCGGUUCUCUUUGAGAACAGGACGUUUGGGCUUUGGCUGGGAGUUCAGAAUAGGGGUGUGUUCAGAUGCUCUUUGAGAUGAUCUGUUCCAGGCUAGUUCAAGUGGAUAAACAAAAUUAAUUAGAUUCACAUCAUAUGAGUCCACAGGAUUGAUUUUUUUUCCUCCAGUGGAAAACUGGCUAGCAAUGGGUACUGCUGCUUAUCAGAAAAAUUUAUAACUAUAGCUCACCUGUUUUUUCCAUAAGUUUUACAAUACUUGCUCGUUUUUUUCCAAGGCCCAGGUACAGGAAUCAUGUUAUCACACAAGACUCCAAUGAACCACUAUAUGGAAAAAGUUCUUUAAAAGUCUCCUUUCCUAUUGCUAUUAUAUAUGAAAUUCCAAUGCAGCGAAGUACUUCACCUUGUGUGAUUAAGCAGAGGAAAUGGCACCAUCAGAACCUUUAACUAGCAGAUUUUGGUCUUCUCCCUGUUUGUGUCAGUAAAUAUGUGAGCCAGUCAUUACUUCUAACAAGUUGCUUGGGAAGGCUUUCAUCUCUGCUUCCUCAGAAAACUGAGGAAAAGGGACUGCAACCUAAUUCAGACAACGUUGGCCAAACAGUAUCACCAGGAAAGCAGGAUUUCACGGCUCCCCUACCCAGUCCACGCCAUUUUGCUGUGAACUUUGGAAAGUAAUUAAAAGUAUUUAAAUUCUGACUUUAUUAAGUGCAAUAAAAAACCAAGAGCUAUCCACCCCAAAACAAACCCUUCAUGCCUAGUGCCAAGAACGUUAAUCAUAUGCAAUUAAUCCCAAACGGCAGAGUUGUAACAAUAAACUUUUCAAUA